CUUCUUUGUAAACUGUCAAAGAAAAGGGAAAACCACUUCUUUUCCUUUAAACCCUAAUCAAUCAAGGAAAGGGAAAUGAACGAAGGAAGACGGCGAGAAGGAAGCACGAAGGCUCGCAGGCGGCACGAUUUUUCGUCGAUCGAUUCACGAGAAGAGAUCGUCUACGGGGGUCGACGAGGCCGAAGGGAAAGAAGAUAGGAAGAAGCAGCGAUGAAGACAAUAUCUUCGUAGGUCGUUGGUCGAUAGGAAGAAAAGGGAGAGCGAGGGGUGAGGCCAGAAGAUGUCCGAUAAGCAGUGACAGGGUCGCAGGUAGGGUUUUGGUGGGUAUUGCUCGACCGUAGAAAGUGUGAGGUGCGAUGGGGGAAACGAUCAACGAUAACAGCUUUGGUGAGGGUGGUUUGGCAGCGAGGGUCGACGGGAAGGAAGGGAAAGGGUCUCUGGAAAAAUAAGAAGGAAAAUGGGAGGGUGUUGCCUCUAUUAUUCACUGGAAGAAAACUCCAUCUCCGGUGGUGUCUUUGACAGUUCACGAAGAAGGAAAAGAAGGAAAAGAAGUGGUUUUCCCUUUUAACAGGAAACGACAUAUUAAGGGUGGCUGGGAAAGUGUGGUAGAUACUCUAGAGUUCAUCAUUGAUUGUUUUUGUAUCUUCAAGUGAUCCAUUCUACAGGUUGCGUGGGAAAGUUUAUGCUAUGCCAAUGUUACAUUACACAUACAAAAGGAAGGGUAAAAAGGGAAAAGAGUAAUUACCAAUGAGCAAGAGGGGCAUCAUUGGGUUUGUGUUACUUCCAGCUUUGUAUAAGGAUUAUCUUUGGUUGUGGAGGGUGUAUUUGACAUCGGGAUCAUUGGCUUUGUAUCUGGGACGAUUGGGCUGUUUGAUGAAAUGCGUGAGAGGUAUUCAUUCGUGAAUAGCAGGGUAUUCAUUUGUUAAUAACAAUGUAUUCUUUUGUAAAUAGCAGUGUACUCAUGUUUGAAUAAGUGUAUUUAUUUAUGAUUAGAUGUAUUCUUUUAUUCAUUUGUGAAUACCAGGUAUUCAUUUGUUAAUAACAAUGUAUUCAUUUGUGUGAAUAAGUGUAUUUAUUUAUGAUUAAAUGUAUUCUUUUAUGAAAAAUUAUAAUUUUUA